UACGUAGGGGGCAAGCGUUGUCCGGAUUUAUUGGGCGUAAAGAGCGUGUAGGCGGUCAGGUAGGUCGGUUGUGAAAACUGGAGGCUCAACCUUCAGAGGUCGACCGAAACCCCCUGGCUAGAGUCCGGGAGAGGAGAGUGGAAUUCCUGGUGUAGCGGUGAAAUGCGCAGAUAUCAGGAAGAACACCCGUGGCGAAAGCGGCUCUCUGGAACGGUACUGACGCUGAGACGCGAAAGCAUGGGGAGCGAACAGG
rnacentral:rRNA from 1 species